rnacentral:rRNA from 1 species
ACGGAAUAGAUACCCAGGUAGUCCCAGCCGUAAACGAUGCUCGCUAGGUGUCAGGCAUGGCGCGACCGUGUCUGGUGCCGCAGGGAAGCCGUGAAGCGAGCCACCUGGGAAGUACGGCCGCAAGGCUGAAACUUAAAGGAAUUGGCGGGGGAGCACAACAACGGGUGGAGCCUGCGGUUUAAUUGGACUCAACGCCGGACAACUCACCGGGGGCGACAGCAAUAUGUAGGCCAAGCUGAAGACUUUGCCUGAAUCGCUGAGAGGAGGUGCAUGGCCGCCGCCAGUUCGUACUGUGAAGCAUCCUGUUAAGUCAGGCAACGAGCGAGACCCGUGCCCACUGUUACCAGCAUGUCCUUUGGGAUGAUGGGUACUCUGUGGGGACCGCCGGUGUCAAAUCGGAGGAAGGUGCGGGCCACGGUAGGUCAGUAUGCCCCGAAUCUCCGGGCUACACGCGGGCUACAAUGAAUGGGACAAUGGGUCCCUUCCCUGAAAAGGGUUGGUAAUCUCACAAACCCAUCCUUAGUUCGGAUUGAGGGCUGUAAC